rnacentral:rRNA from 1 species
UGGGGAAUAUUGGACAAUGGGCGAAAGCCUGAUCCAGCCAUGCCGCGUGUGUGAAGAAGGUCUUCGGAUUGUAAAGCACUUUAAGUUGGGAGGAAGGGCAUUAACCUAAUACGUUAGUGUUUUGACGUUACCGACAGAAUAAGCACCGGCUAACUCUGUGACAGCAGCCGCGGUAAUACAGAGGGUGCAAGCGUUAAUCGGAAUUACUGGGCGUAAACCGCGCGUAGGUGGUUUGUUAAGUUGGAUGUGAAAUCCCCGGGCUCAACCUGGGAACUGCAUUCAAAACUGACUGACUAGAGUAUGGUAGAGGGUGGUGGAAUUUCCUGUGUAGCGGUGAAAUGCGUAGAUAUAGGAAGGAACACCAGUGGCGAAGGCGACCACCUGGACUAAUACUGACACUGAGGUGCGAAAGCGUGGGGAGCAAACA